rnacentral:rRNA from 1 species
AGACGGGGACAACUCAGGGAAACUUGUGCUAAUACCCGAUGAGACCACAAGAAGGGAUUUUUGUGGCCAAAGGCGGGCAGCAAUGCUCGUGACUGAAAGAUGAGUCUGCGUCCUAUCAGCUAGUUGGUGGGGUAAAUGCCUACCAAGGCUAAGACGGGUAGCCGGCCUGAGAGGGUGAACGGCCACACUGGGACUGAGACACGGCCCAGACUCCUACGGGAGGCAGCAGUGAGGAAUUUUCCGCAAUGGGCGCAAGCCUGACGGAGCGACGCCGCGUGAGGGAUGAACCAGCUUUCGGGUUGUAAACCUCUUUUAAUUAAGGAAAAAGAUCUAUAUGCUAAUAUCAUGUAGAUUUGAUGGUACUUAUUGAAUAAGCCCCGGCUAACUACGUGCCAGCCGCUGC